rnacentral:rRNA from 1 species
CAGCCACCGCGGUAAUACGGAGGGUGCAAGCGUUAAUCGGAAUUACUGGGCGUAAAGCGCACGCAGGCGGUCUGACAAGUCAGAUGUGAAAUCCCCGGGCUUAACCUGGGAACUGCAUUUGAAACUGUCAGGCUGGAGUCUUGUAGAGGGGGGUAGAAUUCCAGGUGUAGCGGUGAAAUGCGUAGAGAUCUGGAGGAAUACCGGUGGCGAAGGCGGCCCCCUGGACAAAGACUGACGCUCAGGUGCGAAAGCGUGGGGAGCAAACAGGAUUAGAUACCCCUGUAGUCCCUGUCUCUUAUAC